AGCUGUUUUGGGACUACAGUUCCCAUCAUCCCUGACCAGCGGUCCUGCUAGCUAGGGAUGGUGGGAGUUGUAGUCCCAAAACAGCU